rnacentral:lncRNA from 1 species
GAUAUGUACAUUUAUUAGAAGGAAAAUGUGCUGUUAUGGUCAUUUUCUGACCACCAUGAUAAUAAAUUGUCGGGCACUCCAUGACAAUGUUUUUAAAUAUGGCUUACCAUCAGAAUCUAAUCAAUCCAUAUAUGAUAGUAUAAUGGGAAGCAAACAUGGUUAUUGAUGUGUAGCAUCAUGGCUAAUGGAACAAACAGGGAUUUGGCCUAGAAGACUGAAACCAAAUUUGAAAGAAA